GGUUUAACUGCCAUUUCACAAAAUGCAAGCUUUUUGUUCUUUGCAUAGCCUAACAAUGGUAUAUAAAGUAAUUGCUCAUAGCAUACCUAGCCAAUUAAUCCUCCCAAUUAAUCCAGGGUGUUUUUUGUUUUGUUUUGUUUUUUGCAUAUCAGUGUUUUUUGCAACUGAUUGCAUAAAGCCAAUGGUGAAAAUUUUGGCAGAUGUGAAUUAAUAAAGAUAUGAUGGCAGCUAGAUCCUAACUACCUAGAGUCAUCAGAGAACAGGGCCCUUCCGAUAAGGGUUCUUUAGCCCCAACACCCCUGGCAUCCUGGCCAACUGUCCCACAGCUACUCACUCUGACUGGUCUCCAAGGUCACAGGAGCUGAUGUCACAAUUGGUGUCUGAGCUCUGCUCCCUAAAAUUGCCAUGGCAAGCCAUUUCAGGUCAGACUGGACCACGAAGCUCCUCUGCCAGGAGCUAUCAUGCUGAGCCAUCCACCAUCUGGUCUUGAAUGAAGACAGCCCAGUUUCCAGGACUCAGGAAAUAGAACAUCACGCCUUUCAAAACCACCCAUUUUCCCCUGCACACUCCACCAGCUGAGCAAGAAGCCCCACGAUGAUUGUUGUCUUAUGGAUGCUUCUCAUUGCAGGAACAAUGUGGAAGGGAUUUAAGUAUCCCCCAGGAGGGACUCCAGUGGAAAUAAGCAAAGAUGAUCCUGGUGAAGUAAUGCAGCUCUGAAGCUCACCUGACCAGCUGUACUGUUCCUGUUGUUGGUUUCACAUAAAGUAAUUGCACAUU